UGCUAACUAGCCUUGCAGUUGUCUUCCUCAUUUUAGCUUCCUCUUUGUGAUGUUAAGGCUUAUUAAUGAUCAGGCGUGUUGUCAGAUGCACAGUAUCAUCAGCGUCUCUGUCGCCGUUUGGUUAAAGGAGAGAACUCAACCAAGGAAUCAUUGGGGCACGCACUAAACAUCCACCAUUUCAACUAGAGGUCAAAUCAUUCAGGUAGCCUAGUGGUUAGCGCGUUGGACUGGUAACCAAAAGGUUUCAGGAUCGAAUCUUUGAGCUGACAAGGUUCAUCAUCUGCAACUGUGAGAGCAGGCCCCCCACUUAGUGUAUUUGACAAGCUGAGUUGGACACUCAGUAUGACAGGGUGUCAGUUUGUCAAAUACCCCAAGUGAGGGGUCACUUGUCUGCUGAGCAUCUCCCAUCAGACUGACUUCAAAGAAGAACACUUCAUUAACCUCCAAGUGACUUUCACUGUUAAGACUUUCUCAGAGGCAAAACAUUUUGAUUAUGUGAAAAAUAUUAUAUUUUUCUACUACGCGUAAUUAUGUGCAAUUGAUCACGCACUGUCACAAAUGUCUCAUGUAUUUCGUGUAAGUUUGUAUGAUGGAACUUAGUACACUGUGUAACAAAUGUGUAUCUCUGUAUUAAAUACUGCAUUAAAUAAGUACUGGGUUAUACAAAA